GACGAACGCUGGCGGCGUGCUUAACACAUGCAAGUCGAACGAAGUGUCGCACGGGUGAGUAACGCGUAAUCAACCUGCCCUUCAGAGGGGGACAACAGUUGGCAACGACUGCUAAUACCGCAUACUGAAGGAGGGGAUUGCGUCUGAUUAGCUAGUUGGCGGGGUAACGGCCCACCAAGGCGAGGAUCAGUAGCCGGGCUGAGAGGAUGAGCGGCAACAUUGGGACUGAGACACGGCCCAGACGCCUACGGGAGGCAGCAGUAGGGAAUCGUCCGCAAUGGACGAAAGUCUGACGAAGCAACGCCGCGUGAGUGAUGACGGCCUUCGGGUUGUAAAGCUCUGUUAAUCGGGACGCGGUACCGGAAUAGAAAGCCACGGCUAACUACGUGCCAGCAGCCGCGGUAAUUC
rnacentral:rRNA from 1 species